rnacentral:rRNA from 1 species
CACUUGGCACCCGUAUCCGCUCGUCGAAUAGGCUUAGAUUACGUGUCACGAAGAAAGUCGGCUAUUCUUGUAUCAUGACCGUACUGAAGAUAAGGCCCGCUAUACGUGCAGCAGGCGGGGUAUAGUAGGGUGCAGCGUUAUUCGAUACUGGGCGUAAAGCGUGGCAGGCGUAUGCAAGACAGAAGGUGAAAUCCCGGCUCCACCUGGACUGCUUUGUGACUGCAUGGCUAGAGUACGGUAAGAGGGGGAUGGAAUUCGCGUGUAGCAGUGAAAUGCGUAGAUAUGCGGAGGAUCACCGAUGGCGAAGGCAAUCCCCUUGGACCUGUACUGACGCUCAUGCACGAAAGCGUGGGGAGCAAACAGGAUUAGAUACCUGGUAGACACGCCCUAAACGAUGUCAACCUGGUUGUUGGGAGGGUUUCUUCUCAGUAACGUAGCUAACGCGUGAAGUUGACCGCCUGGGGAGUACGGCCGCAAGGUUGAAACUCAAAGGAAUUGACGGGGACCCGCACAAGCGGUGGAUGAUGUGGUUUAAUUCGAUGCAACGCGAAAAACCUUACCUACCCUUGACAUGUCUGGAAUCCUGAAGAGAUUUGGGAGUGCUCGAAAGAGAGCCAGAACACAGGUGCUGCAUGGCCGUCGUCAGCUCGUGUCGUGAGAUGUUGGGUUAAGUCCCGCAACGAGCGCAACCCUUGUCAUUAGUUGCUACGAAAGGGCACUCUAAUGAGACUGCCGGUGACAAACCGGAGGAAGGUGGGGAUGACGUCAGGUCAUCAUGGCCCUUAUGGGUAGGGCUACACACGUCAUACAAUGGCCGGGACAGAGGGCUGCCAACCCGCGAGGGGGAGCUAAUCCCAGAAACCCGGUCGUAGUCCGGAUCGUAGUCUGCAACUCGACUGCGUGAAGUCGGAAUCGCUAGUAAUCGCGGAUCAGCUUGCCGCGGUGAAUACGUUCCCGGGUCUUGUACACACCGCCCGUCACACCAUGGGAGCGGGUUCUGCCAGAAGUAGUUAGCCUAACCGCAAGGGGGGCGAUUACCACGGCAGGGUUCGUGACUGGGGUGAAGUCGUAACAAGG